CAGUAGCCGCGGGAAUACGAAGGGGGCUAGCGUUGCUCGGAAUCACUGGGCGUAAAGGGUGCGUAGGCGGGUUUUUAAGUCAGAGGUGAAAUCCCGGAGCUCAACUCCAGAACUGCCUUUGAUACUGAAAGUCUUGAGUUCGGGAGAGGUGAGUGGAACUGCGAGUGUAGAGGUGAAAUUCGUAGAUAUUCGCAAGAACACCAGUGGCGAAGGCGGCUCACUGGCCCGAUACUGACGCUGAGGCACGAAAGCGUGGGGAGCAAACAGGAUUAGAUACCCCCGUAGUCCCUGUCUCUUAUAC
rnacentral:rRNA from 1 species